rnacentral:rRNA from 1 species
CCUACGGGAGGCAGCAGUGGGGAAUAUUGCACAAUGGGCGAAACCCUGAUGCAGCAACGCCGCGUGAGCGAAGAAGUCAUUCGUGUCGUAAAGCUCUAUCCGCAGGGAAGAUAAUGACGGUACUUUACUAAGAAGCCCCGGCUAACUACGUGCCAGCAGCCGCGGUAAUACGUAGGGGGCUAGCGUUAUCCGGAUUUACUGGGGGAAAGGGGUGCGUAGGUGGGUUCCAAAGUCAGAGGUGAAAGGCUAUGGCUCAACCGUGGUAAGCCUUUGAAACUGGGGAACUAGAGUGCAGGAGAGGUGAGUGGAAUUCCUAGUGUAGCGGUGAAAUGCGUAGAUAUUAGGAGGAACACCAGUGGCGAAGGCGGCUUACUGGACUGUAACUGACACUGAGGCACGAAGGCGUGGGGAGCAAACAGGAUUAGAUACCCUUGUAGUC